AUGGCCGAUGCGAGUCAAGAUGUUGUAGUGUCUGUUCUUAUCAGCUUAAUAUGUAUCUGAUACGGCUUGUAUUCGGAUCUAAGAUAUUAAACCUAUUUUUGGAAGUUGGCGGAGUGCUUAAAGCCUGCUUCACCUCCGCUGCGGGUCGGCCCGGUAUUGCACGACCGUCGGGAUCGGAUCACGUACG